CUGGGUGUAGUCAAGUACUUGACUUGUCAGUGCGUGUGUCAAGAUGGGAUUGACCACUCCAGUUUAGGAGCUGUGUACAGUCGUAUUUCAAUUUAGCAAAACUUUGGCCAGGGUAGUCCUUGUGAGGAGUCAUAGGACUGUUUGAGUUGAGUACGAUUCGGAUGAUCUGAUCAGGGUUGACAGUUUAACCCUGAGUCAUCCUAAACACAGAAGUCAAAAGGAUGA
rnacentral:lncRNA from 1 species